AUAUGGUAAAAACCCUAGAGUUUCUAUAGCUAGUAACAUAGAGUAUGGUGAAUGGUUAAUAUAUUUAGUUGAACACAGCUCAUUAAAAUAAAACCAGUAGCCUCCCCAGUAUAAUAGCAUCUUUCUGCUAGCAGUAGCAAUAUCACAUUUGUUACAUGUUCACAGCCUGUUAAAACACUCAAUGAAUUCAGAUCUUACUCCUUAGCCAGUUUUUGGCUGAGUACUCUGCUAUAUCCCAAUAAUGUGGCUGUAUGCAACAAGGUUCUCGGAGUAAAAGUUUAAUACAAAAGCUGUAUGGUGUUAGAGGAAAACAUUUACCUCUGCUUUUCUAAUUUCAAAAGUUUCAAGCUCUGAAGGAUCCAGAUGGAGUCCAGUGAAGUAUUUGUAUGGUGAUCAUCUUCUGACUGUUCAGGCAGAAAUUAACUGCAAUCCCUGCUACAUUUUAUUGAAGCAGGAGUCUAGAAGCACUAGAUUUAAAUAGCUAAGUAUGUAAGGAAGCAGGCUGAAGUAAAGAUUCAUUUGAGAUGGUAUGGAGUUUUUACCUAGAAAACAAGAAAGGCCUGUCUGUUGUCCUGUAUUUAAAGAAGGUCACAUUUUAGUUACAGGUGAAGAUUUCAGAUCCCUUGGUUACUUAGAUUGAUGCUUGUUUUGGUGCUCCAGAAGGGAAAUAAAGGCAACAAAUAUUUUGAGGAACGUGAGUGAAUAGCCUCAGGAAAGUCUUGUGGAUCUUAGAAUUUUCUAAGGAGGCCUGUGACCAUUAUGCAGGAGUCACAAGAUUUAAUUAAGGAAACAGAUCCAUGGGACUGUUAGGCCAGGUCACAUCUGACUUUUGACAGAAAAGAGCACUUGCUUAUUUUGGAUAGAACAUACCUGCUUUAGGAUUGUCCUUAGACAGCCUCUGUCCUUAACCAAAUGUUGGGAAAAUACCUUUACCUGCCUUCUACCUCAGGGCUGUGAUGAGGUGUACCAGGGGAACCAGUCAAGAUUCAGCACUUUCCAAUAAACCCUGGUUCUUCACAGAGCUGGCUGUUUAUGAAGGAUGCACUGUUGUCAGGUGUCAGAGCAUGAGAGAGCUCUGGCUGGUAUUCUCAGAGCUGCCUGUCAUGUCUUCCCUGACAGAGCGGUGAGAGGCACUGAGUGCUUCUGUUCCCACUCUGAGAUGUGUCAUCGUAUGUCUAGGCUUGAAAGUGGCUCUGGGAAGAUUUAUCCAGCUGUUCUGGUAUAACCCUGAUAACUGCUCACCUUCUGUCUUUGGUCAGAGCAGGGGAAACUUAAGAUUUUCUUCCACAACUUAAAUUAUCUGAGCAGGAAAGGACAGCUAAGGAUCAAAAUACAGAGGUUUUUUUGUUAGUAGCAGAUAGAGAAGAGAAAAAACUCCCAUCAGAAAACAUCAGUGAUCCAUGUGCAUGCAUGGAUCUCUUCUAUAAAAAAUGGUCAUCUCAGUUAGUGAAAAGCCUCGUCCCAGCCCUAUCUGGAAAGUGUCAUGCUGAGUAAACACAGGCAUACACAAGAAACACCUCUUUCUAUUCUCCUAUUGCUGUUAAUUUGAGUUAUUGAUGCUAGUAUUUGUUCCAUUCCCAGCACUUGGGAACAAUAAAAACUAUCUCACUUGGGUGCCAAAUAACAAACCAAGGAGCUCAGAAUUUGACACAGGAGACUGAAGACACCAUUCAUGCAUUGCCAACCCUUAGAAGACACCUCUGUGCCUUACCUGCCUUGGUCUGUAUUGAUAAACAAUGGUUUCCUCAUGGUUCACAAGGAGUGGUUUGGCACCAAUAUGACUGCUUGCUUGUCAAGCACUGCUUGCUUGUCAAGCACUGUAGGAAUUAAUUUGUUUAAAUGUCAGUGAGAGGAGGCAAAGUCUGAAGGGAGGAGGAUUUAGUACACUUUUUGUUGGAAGAUAUUCAAAUUAGGGAGUACUUAACUAAAUUAAUAGCUAGUGCUGUGGGCCCUGAUGGUGUGUACCCAUGAGUGUAGAGGGAGCUGGCAGAUAUAAUUGUGAGGCCACUCUGAGUUAUCUUAGACUGAUCAUAGUGACUGGGAGAGGUUCCUGAGACCUGAAGGAUAAAGAAUGUCACUCCUGUCUUUCUUGUCUUCAAGACAGGCAAGUCUUGUCUACAGGCAACUGUAGGUCCAUCACCCCCAUCCUGACUCAUUAGUAGGAGGGAUGAAGUGCACCCUCCGCAAACUUGCUGAUGUUACCAAGCUGAGUGGUGCUGUUGACACUCCUAAAAGGAUGGGAUGUCAUCCAGAGGAGCCUGGACAAGGUUGAAAAGUAGGCCUACAGGAAUCUCAUGAGGAUUGACAGGGCCGAAUUCAAGGUGCCGCACCUGGGUCAGGACAACCCCCAGUAUCAGGGAACAGGCUGGGGAUGAACAGAUGGAGAGCAGCCCUGUGGGAAGGACUUGGGGGUCCUCGUGGAUGAGAGGCUGGACAUGACCCAGCCAUGGGCACUCUCAGCCCAGAAAGCCAAACAUGUCCUGGGCUGCAUCCAAAGCAGUGUGGGCAGCAGGGGAGGGAGGGGAUUCUGCCCCUCUGCUCUGCUCUGGUGAGAGCCCACUGGGAACCCUGCAUCCAGCUCUGGGGUCCCAGCACAGGAAGGACAUGGACCUGCUGGAGUGAGUCCAGAGGAGGCCACCAAGAUGACUAGGGGGAGGGAAAACCUGUCCUAUAAGGAAAGGCUGAGAGAAUUGGGAUUGUUCAGAACUGGGAAAAGAGAAGGCUUUGGGAUGACCUAACUGUGGCCUUACAGCACCUGAAGGGAGCCUACAAGACGGAAAGGGACUUUUCACAAGGGAGUGUAAUGAUAGGACAAGAGGGAAUGACUUCAAAUUGUUCGAGAGUAGGUUUAGAUUACAUGUUAGGAACAAAUUCUUUACUGUCAGAGUGGUUAGGCAUUGGAACAGGUUUUCCAAAGAAACUCUUGAUGCCCAGUCCCUGGGCAUGUUCCAGGCCAUUCUGGAUUGGGCUCUGAGCAACCUGGUCUGGUGGAAAUUGUCCCUGCCCAUGGCAAGGAGGUUGGAAAUAAAUGAUACUUAGUGUCCCUUUCAACCCUUUCUGUGGUUCUCUGUAUCAUGAUGUGAUGGUGAAACAACUUCCUGGAAACUAUUUAUUCCUGGAGAGAAAGUGAUUUGGAUUAGUCAGCAUAGAUAUACAAAGAGGAUGUCCUGCUUAAUAAAGUCAAUAACCAUCAAUGAUGAAAUUACUCAUUUGGUAUAUGAGGGGAUAGCAGUAGAUACUGCCUACCUUGACUUCAGUAAGGCUUUGGAUACUCCCAUAAAAUUAAUGGGUUUGAUGAGCAGACCGUGCGGUGGAUUGAAAACUGGUUGCAUGGCUGGGCCAUUCAUAGAGUGGUGUUCAAUGGCAUGAAGUUUGAGGCCGGUAAUUGGUGGUGCACCCUGGGGGUCGAUACUGGGUCCAACACUUUUUAAGCACCUUCAUUAAUGAUCUGGAUGAUGGAACAGAGUGGACUCACAGCAAGUUCACUGAUGACACCAAACUGGGAGGAGUGGUUGACACACCAGAGGAUGGUUCUACUCUUUACUGGGACUUUGACAUCAUACAGUUCAGCCAAGGGAAGUGCAAAGUCCUGCAUCUGGUACUUGUUGGAGGUCAAUUGGCCAAAACAACUUUGUGGGAAAGAACCUAAAGUCCUGGUGGGCAGCAAGUUGAACAAGAGCCAUCAACAUGCUCUUGUCCCAAUGCAGUUGAACAGUAUCCUGAGCUACAUUAGGAAGAGUGCUACCAGCAGGCUGAGAGAGUGAUAUUUCUUCUUUAUCCAGUACUGGUAAGGUCACACCUGGAGUGCUGUGGUGAGCUCUGGGCUUCUCAGAACAGCAGAGAUAUGGAGUUGCUGGAGAGUCCAGAAGGGCUCCAAAGAUGAUUAAGGGCCUGGAGCAUCUUUCAUACGAAGAAAGUCCAAGAGAGCUGGUAUACUUUCUCAGAGAAGGCUCAGAGGGAAAUCUCAUCAGUGUGUUCCAAAGUCUGAAAGAAGAACAAAACAAAAGGAGCCAGACUUUUUUUGGUGAUGCCCAGUGAUAGAUGAGGGGCACAAACUCAAAUGCUUGAAUUUUCCUCUGAAUAUCAGGUGAGACUUUUUUACUGUGUGAGUAAUCAAGGUGGUGGAUUCUCCUGCCUUGGGGAUCUUCAAAGGUCAUCUGGGCAUAGUCCUGGCAACCAGCAUGAAGUGGCCUUGUUUCAGCAGGGUGGUUGGACCAGAUGAACUCCAGAGAUUGCUUCCAGCUUCAGCCAUCCUACGUCCACCUCAGUCAUUCUACCUCAUACUCUACGUCUGUGACAGAUGUCAUGAAAUACUGAAGACGUAAAAGUUCCUACAGUCCUGACUGAAGCAAAUGCUGACCUUCAAGACAAAAUUGGAAUGCGUGUGCUGGACUUUUGUAUCUCUGGCGUAUACCCCUCUGAUAUGGAAGAGACAUCAUGUACUCCAAGUGUACAGUUCACUGACAGAAUGGCGAGACUCACAGCCUAGUAUGCUGAGAGAAGCAGCUUGUUAUGGGGCUUGCAUACUGAGAGGUGACUCAAACACUUUACCACUGCUCCUUUCAUUUGCCAGUCCAAGAUUUUGUUCCAACUCCAGCUGCAAGCAAUACAUAACAGGAAAACUUCAGUGAUACUACUUCAAGGCUUGGAGGGCACUUCAGUGUGAAAAAAUGUAUGCUUGGAACUUAUGGGUUAGGUAUUCUUUCUUCAGUACCUUUCUUCUGUUUCCAGUUAAUGAGUAAAGUGGUGAUGGAACUGUAUACAUAAGUGAUAAAUUCAGCACUCAUAAGUAAUUUAGAUUUGCAAACAGGAACUGCCACCCCACCUUCUAAGAAAGCAGAGUGCUUCAUGCAAAAAUCUCCAUCUAAGCCUUUGGAGAUUUAUGCAGUCUUAGCACAUGCUAAAAGUGUAAUACAUCAAGGCAAAAAAUGGCUUUCUCCUCCAAAAAAAUUAUUUUUCUUGAUGUUCUCAGAUGUUUCUUUAUCUCCACAUUUUUUGUAUUGAUUAGUUGAUCCCACUUGUAAGUAUAGAGCAACAUUUGUUUUCCAGUCUGGGUUUUACUAUAUUAUAUAUAUUUACUAUAUUACUAUAUUAUAUAUUUCUGAAGAUGAUGAUGAUGGUGUCCUGUGGUGCAGGGUACUGACAGGAAAUUCAGGGCCCCUUUCCUACCUCAGACAGCAAUCUUAUUCAGUAUUAGUGCUACUGUCAUAGGGAUACGCCGGAUGUGAGGUGAAGAAAAGAGAAUGAAAUAGCAUAUGGACGUUGGCAGGAGGCCAUAUGGACAACAGUCAGUUGUUUAGAAAGAGUGUGAAAGGGUUCCAAAAUGCUAUGUUUUGCACAUUCAUUCCUGCCUCUGAGCAGUGUUCAGCUAUUGGGGCUACUGUGACUGUAGGAAUCUUUCCCCUCUGCUAUCCUUCAUCUUAGAGCAGUCAAUUAUUGAGCUCCUUUAGUUAAAAAUAAACGUGUUGCUGUAGUUCUGAGAACAUCUGUUUUAAACAAGGUGACUAGAAGAUGUUUCUCAAGUCACUCGCAAAAAUUUUUUAGGCAAGACAGACUGAUCUUUAUAGGUCAUUAUUUCUGUGCAAAUAUUUGUGUUAAAGUUUGACUGUAAUUUCUGGACCAGAACCUGGCUCUUUGUCCUCUCCUUCCUGUCUGUCCAGAGAGAUGAGGCAGUGUGUUAUACAGACAGCAGAACUGCAGCUGUGCCAGGAUGCCUCUCACAUCCUGUACCUAUGCUGGGGUUUGGAGGACAGCAGCUCCUCUCUUAUGCCUGGCAGAGCAGAGAUAAGGGUCCUAUGCAUCAGCAGGCUGGCUCUGCCUGCGGAACAUUCAGGUUGGCAUGUCCUGUCUAAAGGCAGAAAUGUUGAAUGUUUCUUGUUUUGCCACGUUGGCUGAAUCACAUCUUGGUAAGGUAUUGAGAGCUGGCUGAGGCUAUAUCAUUAAAGCUCCAGUACACAUAUUUUCUCUUUUCAUCUAUUCCUUCUAUUCCUGUAUGGUUGGUUUGUCAUUUAAUGAGAUUUUUUUAUUCAAACUGUCUUUUCAAACUUGUAUUCUCACUGUAGUCACUACAGAUCCUUUGAGAUUCCCAUAGUAUUUGUGGGAAUUAGCAGGUUGGAAUCCUGAUUCCAGAGCAAGAAAUUUAUUUCUAGCUUGCAGACUGGUAUUCAGCCCACCACAGCUGACCUGGGAUUGGUGAACUUCACUGGAAAUGGAGUGUUUCACAGUGAAAUGCCUACUCAUCCUCAAAACUUCACAGAGAUUUUUAUUUUGAUAUACCAGCCAAGCUGAUAUAUGUUUCCAUUUUAUGUUGACCGACACCUCAUGGACCAAAUAAAAAUUUCUGUCUUGCUGACCAGCCAAUUCCCAUUAAGAGUUCUCUUCUGGGACAAAGCACAGUCAAAAGCACAGCAUGGCUCUCCUUUUUUGUAAGUUAGAUAUUCAGCUGAACUAAAACAAUGAGUCCUGAAAAUGGAUUUUAUUUUUUUUAACGUCUUGGAAGAAAAACAAAAACUUCUUUCUUGCAGACCAUAUAUAUUUGCAUUUGAACAAACUAUUUUUUUUUCCUUUUUCAGGAAGGGAAAAAAAAAUCCAGUUAGAUAUUUUUGUUUCAUUUGACUUUUCAGAUGGGGCUUAAGGAGAACAUUCACAAGGUCCUUCUGGGAACAGCUGCUAAAAUCCUGCCUGACAUGGCAAAUCUAUGUGUGACUUGUUGAACUGUGUUCAAGUCUCUGUAAAUUCAGGGAUGGUGAUGUGAUAUAAAAAGCUGUCUCUCAACAGUGAAAAGAAUCGUGUAAUUAACCCAACCAAACCUAUGCAGUUAUUUCAUAUGAUUUUCUGUUCAAGACACUAAGCUACCAAGUGAGACAGUGGGAGGUCAGAGAAAAUUCCAGUGGUUGACAGUGUCUGGAAAAAUUAUACAUUAUUACAGGGCAAGGAUACACCCAUGGGACUUUCUUUCCUCUUCCUGUAGUCAAAUCCUGACUAAACACUGUUACAGUUUCACAUUUAGCAACCAGGAAUUGCUUUGGGAAAAUAGACGUGUACAACACUGGGUUUUUUAUUUUUAGGUGGACCAGGUUGACUCAGCUCAUUGUGAUUGCUCCAGAGGGGCGAAUGGUCUGGUGGAUUGAAGGAAUGAGUAGCAUGAUGAAGAGGCAGUGCCAAAGGCACAAAGAAGUUCUGCCAUUAUUGCUGUAUCUAAGAAAAAGUGUAGCAAGCACCUGGAUAUUCCUUCAAGAAGUGCUUCUUGCUCCUGCAGCGGAAAUUCUGCAGGAGAUGAACAGUCUUGCAACAAUCUCAGAAGCCAGUCCUGAAAGUGCUUGCUAAACAGCACAGCUUUGUAACCUGAAGUACCAUGUCAGUAACACCAUUCUCCCAAACUCCCAUUUCUUCAAGUCUAAUAGGAGUCUUAUCUUGACAUUUUUUUUACCUUCUGACAGGCCUGGUGUGUUUUAACUCAGGAGUUUCAGUGUAGCUUAUGAUCCUUUAGUGUUUUGUGUUGCGUGUCAGAUGCUCCAAGAACAUUCACUACCGAUAUUAACCCAGAGAACAUGUGCCACAAAAUACUGUAUUGCUUAGAGUUUGUGAUUGGGUCUGUUGUAGUCUGUCAUUCAGAACAGGGAAAAAUUUUCAAACACUCUGAAAAGGGCAUUUAAUCUGUGCUUUAUUAUCAUGUUCUGUUCAAAGAGUAUUGCAAAAUUUGGCUAGAAACCUUUAUCUAUAAACUGAGAGUCAGCUUACAGAAUUUCUUGGUGGAAGUUAACUUUCAGUUCCUACUAAAGAAAUUGGGCAAACCUAUGCAUCUCUAAUCUCCAAGAGUUCAGAAAGCAUCAGUUAUUUUGUGAAGUAGUGUUAAAUUCUUUGCUUUGAAAAGUCUUUUCAGUUUUUUACAUUGAAAAGCUGCUGACAUUUACUUAAAACAAUAAAUCAAUGUAUUUUGCCUUCU